rnacentral:lncRNA from 1 species
GCAGUGGUUCCAGCAGUCACCGGGAGAAAAACAACUMAAAUGUAUAGCCUAUUUAUUGUUUAAGUCUCAAACCACGUACAUUGAAGAACAUCUAAACUCAGUUCAGAUGAGAUGUCAGUUAGUUGUUGAUGUUCAGCUCAAGACUCAACAUGAUCAGAACCCUCUUACUCGGUUGGCUCUCAGGUCUCUGUCUCAGUGUUGAGGUUCACCAGACUCCCUCUGCAGUCUUCAGCAGACCUGGAGAGAAUGUUCAACUCUUCUGCCAACAUCMGAAAACAGACUAYASASURAURYUGUGGUACCAGAAAHCACRAGGAGAAACAGCWCUGAAACUCAUUGGAWAUYUGWAUYWUAADWMUCMAACCAUUGARAGUUCAUAUGARAAGCAUUUUAAUAUGAGUGGGGAUUUGGGUGGAGGUGGCCCAAAGAAUGCCUCUCUGAACAUGUUCAACUUGAGACGACCCCAACACAGUGCAGUGUAUUUCUGUGCUGCUAGUAAGGCACCGUGUUGCAGAUUCCCCUGUCUACACUACAAAAACCUUCUCUCAGUCACUGUCUCACUAGAUUAUACUGAAGCAUCACCUCCCUCACACCUGCACUGA